rnacentral:rRNA from 1 species
UGACCUAUGUUAGGCGAGAUCACCAAAUGAGUUUAAACAUAUCAAUAAGAGGUGGAAAAGAAACUUACAAGGAUUCCCCUAGUAAUGAUGAGUGAAUAGAAAAAAGCCCAACUUAAGAAUCGAACGGCCCCACCAUUCGAAUUGUAGUCUAGAGAAGCGUCCUCAACGGUGGACCAAGCUCAAGUUCCCUGGAAAGGGGUGCCAAAGAGUGUGAGAGCGCCGUUGUGCUCGAACCCUAUCACACCACGAGGCGCGAUCAGCGAGUCGGGUUGUUUGGGAAUACAGCCCCAAUCGUGUGGUAAAUUCCAUCCGAGGCUAAAUACGGACGAGAGACUGAUAUCAAACAAGUACCGUGAGGGAAAGAUAAAAAGAACUUUGAAAAAAGAGUCAAAGAAUGCUUGAAAUUGUCGAGAGAAAAGUGGAUGGGGGUCGGCGAUGCAUCCCGAUUGGAUGUGAAAUGGAGACGAGUCGGUUAGUCGAUCGACUCGGGGUGUGGACCAGUAUGUAUUGAGGUGGCAGCCAUAGCCUAAGCAAUCGACAUGCCCACAGAAUGUCGUUGCCCCAAUUGUGAUGAACAGCGCGCGCCCUCAGCGUGCCUCAGUACCUACGUGCUCUCGGUGCUAGCCUGUGAGUUUCCCAUUCGACCCAUCUUGAAACACGGACCAAGGAGUCUAACGUGUGUGCGAGUAAAUGGAUGAGUUAACCCAUAAGGUGUAAGGAAGCUAAUUAGUGUGAUCCUCCCGAGGGGUGCAACGCUAACCGACCUCGAUCAUCUUAGAUGGGUUUAAGUGGAAACAUACCUGUCGAGACCCGAAAGAUGGUAAACUAUGCAUGAAUGGGGCAAAGCCAGAGGAAACUUUGGUGGAGGCCUAUAGUGAUACUAACGUGCAAAUCAUUCAUCUGACUUGGGCAUAAGGGUGAAAGACUAAUCGAACCAUCUAGUAGCUGGUUCCCUCUAAAGUUUUCCUCUGGAUAGCUGGAGCUUGGACGCGAGUUCUAUUGAGUAAAGCCAAUGAUUAGAGGCAUCGGGGACGCAAUGACCUCAACUUAUUCUCAAACUUUAAAUAGGUAGGACGGCACGGCCACUUCGUUGAGCCGUACCAUGGAAUCAAGAGCUCCAAGUGGGCCAUUUUUGGUAAGCAGAAUUGGCGAUGCGGGAUGAACCGAAAGCCAGGUUAUGGUACCCAACUGUAUGCUAACCUAGAUCCCACAAAGGGUGUUGGUCGAUUAAGACAGUAGGACGAUGGUCAUGGAAAUCGAAAUCCACUAAGGAGUGUAUAACAACUCACCUGUCGAAUCAACUAGCCCUGAAAAUGGAUGGCACUGAAGUACGUGACCUAUACCUAGCUAUAGGGGCAAGUGCCAGGCCUCGAAAAGUAAGAGCAAAACCUUCUGCGCAAGCCCGAGCAUGAGCGGCCGUCGGUGCGAAUCUUGGUGGUAGUAGCAAGUAUUCAAAUUGGAACUUUGAUGGCCGAAGAGGGUAAAGGUUCCAUGUGAACGGUACUUGCACAUGGGUUAGUCAAAGGGUCAGGGAAAGCCUGAUAGACAACACGUUUUGUGCUUGCACCGAAAGAAAAUUGGGUUAAAACUCUUGAACCAGGACACGAAGGUUGAUGGCAAUGUUAGGGAGUUCAGAGAUGUCAAUCGAGGUCUCGAGAAGAGCUAUCUUUUCUAUUUAACAGCCUGCCUACCCUGGAAAUGGCUCAGUUGAAAGUAGGGUCUAGCGACUGGAAGAACACCGCACGUCUCAUGGUGUCCGGUGUGCCCUCGGCGGCCCUUGAAAAUCCGAAGGAUCGAGUACCGUCCACGUCCAGUCGUACUUAUAAUCACAUCAAGUCUCCAAGGUGAACAAUCUCUAGUUAAUGGAACAAUGUAGGUAAGGAAAGUCGGCAAAAUGGAUCCGUAACUUCGGGAAAAGGAUUGGCUCUGAGGGAUGGGCACGAGGGUCCCAGUCCCAAACUCAUCGGCUAUCAAUAGACUACUUGAGCUGCUCUGACAGUGAGAGUGGGUAGUCACAUGCCGGUCGAGGGAUGGACUGGGAACAGCUCCUUCAGAGGCCUUCCUCAAGCGUCGAACAGUCGACUCAGCACUGGUACGGACAAGGAGAAUUCAGCUAUUUAAUUAAAACAAAGCAUUGCGAUGGCCCCUGUGAAUACUCACACAAUGUAAUUUUUGCCCAGUGCUAUGAAUGUCAAAGUGAUGAAAUUCAACCAAGAGCGGGUAAACGGUGAGAGUAACUAUGACUCUCUUAAGGUAGCCAAAUGCCUUGUCAUCUAAUUAGUGACACGCAUGAAUGGAUUAAUGAGACUCCCACUGUCCCUGUCUACUAUCCAGUGAAACCACAGCCAAAGGAACGAGCUUGGCAAAAUUAGCUAGGAAAGAAGACCCUAUUGAGCUUGACUCUAGUCGACUUUGUGAAAUGACUUGACAAGUGUAGGAUAAGUGGAAGCCAAAAGGUGAAAGUGAAAUACCACUACUUUUAACGUUAUUUUACUUAUUUCAUGAAUCGAAGGUGGGGCCUUGCCCCUCUUUUUGGACCCAAGGCUCACUUUGCAGGCUAAUACGGGCAAAAGACAUUGUUAGGUAGGCAAUAUAGCUGGGGUAGCACAUCUACUAAAAGAUAACACAGGUGUCCUAAGAUGAGCUCAACGAGAACAGAAAUCUCGUGUGGAACAAAAGGGUAAAUGUUCAUUUGAUUCUUAUUUCUAGUACAAAUAUGAACCAUGAAAACGUGACCUAACGAUCCUUUAGACCUUCAAAAUUUAAAGCUAGAGGUGUUAGAAAAGUUACCACAGGGAUAACUGGCUUGUGACAGCCAAGCGUUCACAGUGAUGUUGCUUUUUGAUCCUUCGAUGUCGACUCUUCUUAUCAUUGUGAAGUAGAAUUCACCAUGUGUUGGAUUGUUCACCCACCAAUAGGGAACAUGAGCUAGGUUUAGACCAUCAUGAGAUAGGUUAGUUUUAUCCUACUGAUGAUAGUGUUGCAAUAGUAAUUCAACAUAGUACGAGAGGAACCGUUGAUUCACACAAUUGGUCAUCACGCUUGGUUGAAAAGCCAGUGGCGUGAAGCUACUGUGUGCUGGAUUAUGACUGAAUGCCUCUAAGUCAAAAUUUGGGCUAGAAGUGAUGCACGCACAUGUCGUCCACUUGUCGACCCGCAAUAGGGGCCUUAUGGCCCCUAAUGGCACAUGUCGUUGGCCAAGCCCUUGUAGAGAACGUGCUGUGUUGGCUACCUUGAAGUACAAUUUCCAUCGAGCAGGAAGUAGAAUCCUUUACAUGCACAGGGUAUUGUAAGCGGAAAAGUGGACUUGCUAUCACGAUCCGCUGAGAUUCAGCACUUUGUCGCUCCGAUUCAU